rfam:Heterocephalus glaber contig45220, whole genome shotgun sequence.
AGAUGUGAGGGCGAUCUGGCUGCGCCAUCUGCUAGCAGGGUUGAUUUGGCUGAUCUGGGUGGCUAGGCGGGUGUCUCUUCUUCCCUCACCGCCCCAUGUGCUCUCCUCCCGAAGCUGCGCACUCGUGGAAGAGGACAACCACCCCAUAGAGGAGGACCAUUUCCUCGGUCAAGGGUAUAGGAGUAGCUGUGCUCCCCUGCUAGAACCUCCAAACAAGCUCUCAAAGUAAAUGGCCACUGGAUUUUUCAUAUAUGCGAAUCAAUAAAUACCUCAUUUCUUUGGGGAGGUCUCUAAGCCAGUCAAA